rnacentral:rRNA from 1 species
CAGUAGCGUAUAUUAAAGUUGUUGCAGUUAAAAUGCUCGUAGUUGAAGUUCGGAUGCAGCAGAGCUUGGAAACGCUGUUAUGGUGCUUCCGUUGCUUUUGCUUGUCCACAGUGCGUUGCAAGUACGUAUGUGCUUGUGCGUGCACUUUACUUUGAGAAACAUAGGGUGUUCCACGCAUGUUACGGCAUGAAUAUUCCAGCAUGGGAUAAUCUGGUACGACUUCCAAUCUGCCAUUUUGGUUCGUAGGUUGGAAGUAAUGAUUAAUAGGGACUGUCGGGGGCAUUGGUAUUUGACUGUCAGAGGUGAAAUUCUUAGAUUCGUUGAGGACCAACCACUGCGAAAGCAUUUGUCAAGGAUGUCUCCAUUAA